rnacentral:sRNA from 1 species
AUGCAUUAUGAUAAAGAUAUCUUUAUUUCACCAUAAUUACCUUAAAAUAAUCAGAAAAAAAUUAUGUUAUAAU